AUGUAAAGCUCUCACACACACACGCAAAACACAUUGUUCGCAGGUUACACAGCAGCCAGGGUCUCUCACUAUUGCCGGCGACACCACUGCCGCCUUAUCCUUUGUUUGCCUUUUCGCGUCUCUCUGGAUUUGUCUCGGUACCAGCACCUAGGGGGCGCUGGUGUGCAUGUAGCUGCACGUGCACGUGCAUGUGCGUUUCCGGGUUUCCUCUGCUUGAGCUCGCAGCGAUCACACACUGAUCACCGCCACCGUCCCACCAUCUCCCUGUUCUCUCCAUCUUGUUCUAUCGUUUUUCUCCCUUUUCCGUGGCGAAGAGCAAGCGCAAGAAAAUGGCUGAUCAGGCGCCUCCGGGGGUGAACAUGCCGAAGAAGCGUGACCCGCGUUUGCGGCAGAUGCAGGCGCCGCAGCAGCAAAAGUUCUUCGACUCCGCCGACUACGAGGUGCGCAAGCAGCAGCAGCAGCAGCCAUCGCAGCAGCAGCCAUCGCAGCAGCAGCAGCCCUCACACGGUCAAAUGGCGCCAAACGGCAUCCCACGUCGCGGACCGGCGGACGGGCUGCAUCUUGGCGCGGCAGACGGUGGCGCACCUCGUGGCAAGAACCCGCCACCUCCUCCGCUGCCAGAUGGCUACGCAGUUCCCGGUGCCCGACGAACGCCUUGUUGAGACACCUCUGCCCGCCAACCGAAAGCGCUCAUCAUUCCUCAGCGCAACGACACCGAAGGUGCCGAGCGGUUUCUCUACCUCGUCUGCGCUUUUUCUUUUUCGUUGUUUCUCUUUUUCUCACUCCCUUCAUCUCUAGCUUCUGCUUUGUGUGCACGUGUGCGCGUGUGUGGAUCGCGAUUGCUGUGCGUGAGCCCGCCUCUGACUCAAUCUCCUUCGGUUCUGUGUGACCGUAUCUACCUUUGAUCCUUAGAGCACCAUCUUUCACUUGCAUGCGUCGGUUGUGUUCCCCCCCCCCCCCACCCCCCCACACACCGAAAUACAAGCACACUUAAAGGCAGAAAUACGCACUCACCGAUGUCGCUCCUGUGAAGCGCCGCAUGCCAAGAUCCUCCUCUUGUGUGUAUGUGUGUUUUGUGCGUUCUGGUUGUUGGCUGUCGUUUGUCGGCUGUUGUUUUAUCAUUGAUCAUACCCUCCUCUGCACUGCGCCACGUCGCGCGCUCGUUGCCUCGUCCCUUCUGCUGCCUUCUCCCUUCUCCUGCCAGGCUUGUCUCUCUUUCUUUCUCUCGAGCUCCGGGUCAGCACCACGACAGCCGAUGUGGUACAAACACGCAGGCCGAGCACGAGAGAGAGAGAGAGAGAGGGGGAGGGAGGGGCGGGGGCAGGUGGAGAGGCCCGCUCGAUGGAGGAGAAGGCAAGAGCGGGCAGCAGGGAAGCUUUGCUGCUGCGGUUGGUGCUGUGCUGUUUUUACUGCGUUGGACGCCACCAUCAUGAUCAUCAUUUCCUUCCUCCUUGUCUGACGUGCGCUGGUGAGUCGCUGACAGGACGCAAAAAGAAAAGAAAAUGAAUACAUGGAAAACGAACAAACAAAGAGUCGGUUCGCGGUUGCAUCGCACAAACCCUCCAGCGGCAUGGACGGAGGCACUGGACGCACUGCGAUGAUUGCCUAGCUGACGGAGAAGGGAGAGUGAUGCGGAAGGUGAAAUGGGAAUCACCGUGCGGUCGCGUUCGAUGCAGCCUUGUCGCUGACUUUCAGGUACAUCUCGCCCCACACGGCCCACUAGCCACCCAGACACACUCUUCCGUUGCCAACCCCCCUCCCCCACGCUACGCCACUUGGCGCGCAUUAUUGUGGAUGUCUACGAGGUCUCUCUUUGACGGCGGGCUGACUGCAUCUCUUUCUUCCUCGGUG
rnacentral:misc_RNA from 1 species